AUUGAACGCUGGCGGCAUGCCUUACACAUGCAAGUCGAACGGUAACGCGGGGCCACCUGGCGACGAGUGGCGAACGGGUGCGUAAUGCAUCGGAACGUGCCCAGAAGUGGGGGAUAGCCCGGCGAAAGCCGGAUUAAUACCGCAUGAGACCUGAGGGUGAAAGCGGGGGAUCGCAAGACCUCGCGCUUUUGGAGCGGCCGAUGUCAGAUUAGCUAGUUGGUGGGGUAAAGGCCUACCAAGGCGACGAUCUGUAGCUGGUCUGAGAGGACGACCAGCCACACUGGGACUGAGACACGGCCCAGACUCCUACGGGAGGCAGCAGUGGGGAAUUUUGGACAAUGGGCGCAAGCCUGAUCCAGCCAUGCCGCGUGCGGGAAGAAGGCCUUCGGGUUGUAAACCGCUUUUGUCAGGGAAGAAACGCUCUGGGCUAAUACCCUGGGGUAAUGACGGUACCUGAAGAAUAAGCACCGGCUAACUACGUG
rnacentral:rRNA from 1 species